UGGGGAAUCUUGGACAAUGGGCGCAAGCCUGAUCCAGCCAUGCCGCGUGAGUGAAGAAGGCCUUCGGGUUGUAAGGCUCUUUUACCAGGGACGAUAAUGACGGUACCUGGAGAAUAAGCCCCGGCAAACUUCGUGCCAGCAGCCGCGGUAAUACGAAGGGGGCUAGCGUUGUUCGGAAUUACUGGGCGUAAAGCGCACGUAGGCGGAUUGUUAAGUCAGAGGUGAAAUCCCGGAGCUCAACUUCGGAACUGCCUUUGAUACUGGCAAUCUAGAGUCCGGAAGAGGUUAGUGGAAUUCCCAGUGUAGAGGUGAAAUUCGUAGAUAUUGGGAAGAACACCAGUGGCGAAGGCGGCUAACUGGUCCGGUACUGACGCUGAGGUGCGAAAGCGUGGGGAGCAAACAGGAUUAGAUACCCGCGUAGUCCCUGAGCGGGCUGGCAAGGCGCAU
rnacentral:rRNA from 1 species